rnacentral:rRNA from 1 species
CACGUAGGGCGCAAGCGUUGUCCGGAAUUAUUGGGCGUAAAGAGCGUGUAGGCGGUUAGGUAGGUCCGUUGUGAAAACUCGAGGCUCAACCUCGAGACGCCGAUGGAAACCAUCUGACUAGAGUCCGGAAGAGGAGAGUGGAAUUCCUGGUGUAGCGGUGAAAUGCGCAGAUAUCAGGAGGAACACCGGUGGCGAAGGCGGGUCUCUGGGCAGUAACUGACGCUGAGGAGCGAAAAGCGUGGGGGAGCGAACAGG